UACGUAGGCAGCGAGCGUUGUUCGGAGUUACUGGGCGUAAAGGGUGUGUAGGCGGUUGUUUUAAGUUUGGUGUGAAAUCUCCCGGCUCAACUGGGAGGGUGCGCCGAAUACUGAAUGACUUCGAGUGCGGGAGAGGAGAGUGGAAUUCCUGGUGUAGCGGUGAAAUGCGUAGAUAUCAGGAGGAACACCGGUGGUGUAGACGGCUCUCUGGACCGUAACUGACGCUGAGACACGAAAAGCGUGGGGUAGCAAACAGG
rnacentral:rRNA from 1 species